GCCAGGGCACGUCUGUUCCCAUUUUAUAACUGGUUAGGGCGUCCACCUCGGCUGCGGGAGGUGGUUCGUUCGAAACCCACCGCCGGAGAUCCAACCGGUUAUAAAACGGGUACAGACGUGACCCUGGCCUGGCACCCGGCUUUCCUUCUGGGGUGUGCGUCUGGGGGAGGCCUCGCAAACCCCGCCCUUGGGCUAUUCGUAGCUCAAUAGUUUCGAACUGUUCUAGCCUGAAAAGGUGGUCCUCGAUACCUCGUGAUACUGUCCCGUGGUUCACAGGUUUUUCACAGGUUGCUUCUGUGGUCCCGCAGAUUAUUCUGUGAUGGUCCCACCUUCGGGUGG
rnacentral:lncRNA from 1 species